CGAGACUCAGUGAAAUUGAACUCGCUGUGAAGAUGCAGUGUACCCGCGGCAAGACGGAAAGACCCCGUGAACCUUUACUAUAGCUUGACACUGAACACUGGUCCUUGAUGUGUAGGAUAGGUGGGAGGCUUUGAAGCGUGGACGCCAGUCUGCGUGGAGCCGCCCUUGAAAUACCACCCUUUAAUGGCUGGUGUUCUAACGUAGACCCGUGAUCCGGGUUGCGGACAGUGUCUGGUGGGUAGUUUGACUGGGGCGGUCUCCUCCCAAAGAGUAACGGAGGAGCACGAAGGUUGGCUAAUCCUGGUCGGACAUCAGGAGGUUAGUGCAAUGGCAUAAGCCAGCUUGACUGCGAGCGUGACGGCGCGAGCAGGUGCGAAAGCAGGUCAUAGUGAUCCGGUGGUUCUGAAUGGAAGGGCCAUCGCUCAACGGAUAAAAGGUACUCCGGGGAUAACAGGCUGAUACCGCCCAAGAGUUCAUAUCGACGGCGGUGUUUGGCACCUCGAUGUCGGCUCAUCACAUCCUGGGGCUGAAGUAGGUCCCAAGGGUAUGGCUGUUCGCCAUUUAAAGUGGUACGCGAGCUGGGUUUAGAACGUCGUGAGACAGUUCGGUCCCUAUCUGCCGUGGGCGCUGGAGAAUUGAGGGGGGCUGCUCCUAGUACGAGAGGACCGGAGUGGACGCAUCACUGGUGUUCGGGUUGUCAUGCCAAUGGCACUGCCCGGUAGCUAAAUGCGGAAGAGAUAAGUGCUGAAAGCAUCUAAGCACGAAACUUGCCCC
rnacentral:rRNA from 1 species